rnacentral:rRNA from 1 species
UGAGGAAUAUUGGUCAAUGGACGGAAGUCUGAACCAGCCAUGCCGCGUGAAGGAAUAAGGCCCUAUGGGUCGUAAACUUCUUUUGUGGUGGAGCAAUAAGAUCUACGCGUAGGUCGAUGAGAGUACAUCACGAAUAAGCAUCGGCUAACUCCGUGCCAGCAGCCGCGGUAAUACGGAGGAUGCAAGCGUUAUCCGGAAUUAUUGGGUUUAAAGGGUGCGUAGGCGGCUUUGCAAGUCAGCGGUGAAAGGCCCGGGCUCAACCCGGAAAGUGCCGUUGAUACUGUGAGGCUGGAAUGCGGAUGCUGUGGGAGGAAUGAGUGGUGUAGCGGUGAAAUGCAUAGAUAUCACUCAGAACACCGAUUGCGAAGGCAUCUCACAAAUCCGCAAUUGACGCUGAGGCACGAAAGCGUGGGGAU